UCCUCGGUAGCUCAGUUGGUAGAGCGGGUGGCUGUUAACCACUUAGUCGGCGGUUCGAGUCCGUCCCGGGGAGCCA
rnacentral:tRNA from 2 species